UGGGAGAAGACAGUCAGAGCUGCAUCUGUCACCCCCCACCACCUAUGAGCCACCAAGGGGAGGAGGACACUACUGUGCUUGCCCCUGCGCAUAGUAGGUGUUCAGCAAAGGUUGGUGGGAGAGACUGGUCCAGAGGACAGUUAAACACUUUCCACUCACUUCGAGCAUGGAAUUUUCCAGAGGCUCCAAUGAUCAGGGCCAGGCACAGACCUCCUCCCUCUGACUCCUGAUCCCCACUGGGAGACUCUGGAUGAGGCAGCCCAGCAGGCCCAGCUCCCUCUACUCCCUGGCCUUGGCCGAGUUCCAGAUCACUCUCAACCACGUAUUUUCAAAAUCCUUUGUGCCGGAACAUGGCCAGUAUGCAAAUUAAGCGAGGACUUGGAGUUUGCAGCUUACACGUGUGAUUACCAGGGCUCUGCUGGAACUCUGGAGAAAGAGAAGAGCGAGAACAGGGCAGGAGCAGCAUCUGAAAGAGUUUGACCCAGAAUUUCCCAGAGCUGAUUAAAGACAUCAGGCCAUGUUGAGUUAUGGACAUGAGUAACUCCAUGAAAACCAGGCAAGUGCAUACAGGAAAACACAGGGAAGCUCGUCAGAGCCACAAGGGUGAAAAAGAAAGGCAGGAGAAGAAUCUUCAACACAGCCAGAGGAAAAAGACAUUUACUUUGAACAGAUCAGCA